GAAGUGACACCCCCUCCCCGGGGGGGGGGGGGGGGGUGCUUGAACCCAGAUCAUUCAGCCCAGUCCUUGUGCUUUGCUCCAUGUGCGCUUAACCCACUGCGCUACCAUUGACCCCCUCUACUCUGGAAUCUUAUCACAGAAAAAACAAACAACAAUAACAAAAAAAAAAAAAAGGAGUCAUAUGGCAAAUGACAAGACUCCAUUCCAGCUCUCCCUCCCUUUUGCACCUGGGGGUGGGGGUGGGGGGAGUUCUCCUUUUCCUUUCUUCUUCCUCAAUUCUUACUGAGGUAAAGCUCAGGAACAAAUGAAUUACUCAGGGAGGCUUGCAGUAUACACAGGCCAAGUUUUAGAUCUGUUUCAUUCAUCAUUCAUUUCCACCGAAGGUGUCCAAAGUCCUGCUCCAAGAACACAGUCCCACCUCUUUGAGCAGGAUAGUGGAGGGCACUGCAACCCAAACUUAAAACUGAACUUCCUACAACCUCCAGGAAAAAGUCCUGCCUGUUGGGAGAGGAGGUGAGCAGGAGACUUUAGAGAAGCCAGCAUUACACAAGAUUGGAGCAUCCCCAAGCCUAAGCAUGAGUAACAGGCAAAGCACUUCAACCCCCAGGUGCAAGUUCCAAACCCAACACUGAAUCUUGGAGGGUAAUGAGGGAGAGAGGUGUCACUGGAGCAUUUCUUGCCACCAGCAGAUUCCACAAGGGGGGUGGAAUCUCCCACUAGUCAGCUGAUUCCCUCUCACUCAUCUCCAAGAAUUGUGUAAAGGCAUCCCGGCCACCCAGUUGCAAAAAAAAAAAAAAAAAAAAAAAAAAGCAACUUCCCCUCCUGCUGACUGAACGCCCAGGCGACACGUCUGGGCAGUCAUUUGAAUGUGUUUCCUUUUCAUUAAGAACAAAGGUUGGAGUGCAGGGUGGGGGCAGGAAAGUACACCGCGUGUGUGGAGAGAAAAUGCGGAGAACGACCCGCGAGAAAGGGAAAGGGGGAAACAGCAAUCGUCGGGGGCUGCUGGUAUUUUUUUUUUUCUGACUUUUCCUUUAAAAAGAAAAAAAGUUGUGUGUGUUUUUUUUUUUUUUCAAAACGUAGGUUCCAAGAAUCGGCAGGAGGGGGGUGCGCGGCGGGGAGGGGGGUUUACAGAAAAGGCGCCUGGUCGGUUAUGAGUCACAAGCGGGUUAUAAAAGGGUCUCCCGUCGGCAGGCGCGGGCUUCCUGUGCGCCGCCAAGCCGGGCGCUGCCAGCCGGGCCGGGCGGGGACCCCACGCUGUGCGGCCGAGGAAGGAGCACGCGGCCGCCCCAGGUGGCGUGAACCAGGAAGGGGAAAUCUGUGGUUUAAGUUCUUUGUACUUCAUCCUCUGAUGCUGAUGGCUUGCUGUAGGCUGUAUGCUGUUAAUGCUAAUCGUGAUAGGGGUUUUUACUUUGACUGACUCCUACAUGUUAGCAUUAACAGGGUAUGAUGCCUGUUACUAGCAUUCACAUGGAACACAUUGCAGCCGUGGGAGGAUGACAGAGAAGCAUGAGUCACCCUGAUGGAUAAACUUAGACUUAAGGCUUUUUCUUUUUUAAUGUUUCAAUUUGUUCAUCAUAAUUUGGUGACUGGUAUGUUCCACUUUUAAGAAAAGGUUUCUCAGCAAUACUCUGAAUACAGACCUGCUCACAUCUUUGUUGAUGCCAUUUUAUUUACAUUUAAAGGUUUGUGCAUUUUAACUCUUCAACUACAAGAUAUAUGGGCUAAACACAUCCUGAAACAAAUUGCUAAAAUAUCUUUGUAGUUAAUUAGGACUGCUGUUCUCCAGGUAUGGAUUGACAACAUGUUUAAAUUUUUUGAAGCUGCUAUUUUUUCCCUUAAGUUGUUUUCUAUUUAGACAAUGUCAGUUUAAAGUGAAUACUUGUGGGCUGGAAACGUAGCAUAUUGGUUAUGCAAAUUAUUUACACGCUUAAGGCUUUGAGGUCCUAGGUUUAAACCCCAGCACUACCAUAAGCUAGAUCUAAGCAAUGUUCUGGUAUAUAUAUAUAUAUAUAUAUAUAUAUAUAUAUAUAUAUAU